AAUAGACGUUUGAGUUACUGACUCCAUACCCUUUAAAAUUCAUGCAUUCAUAAUAAGAAGCUUGCUGUUCUAUCACAUUUCUAAGUUCGUAAGAGCAAUAUUUAAAAAAGGUCCCUAUUUUUGGGCCUUUGUUCCCCCAUUAUUGUUGGCUUUGUCCAGAUUUCUUGCACUAAGAUGUUGAGAGGUAUGACGUAUGCAUAACCAUGCAAGACACAUAGCAACGUGUACGUGUGUGUUUAUGCUCAUGUUAUUUUGCUAAAACAUGUUAGAUGAAACCGACUGUGUGCUAGCACUCUCCCAAUUCUUUGUAAACGAACUCAUCUGCAACACAAUAUAAGUUGUAGGUGUUAUGCAAUAUACUAAUAGAGAUAAUACAAAUAAGCUGGUAGUGUUUGCCAAAUGAGCUCUUACAUGUUACUAUAUUUGGACCACACUACAGUCUGUAGAUAAACCAAUGUAUUUCUGAAUCACUUUCUAUCUCUUUCUGUCUUGCGGCAACACUUUCCAAGAACUCAGUUGCCGUGCCUUUAUUGAGAAAGGAUGCGGGCACAUGACGUGAAAUUCUGAGACCAGCCAUUCUGGUAGCUCCUGCUUAACAUAAAAAGGUAAAUAUCUGAACGUGUAAUAGCUAAGAAAGAAAGAAUCCGGAGAGUUUACAGUCCGUAAGAAGCACAGACUGCAGUGAAGCAUCUCUCUGAACGCUCAGAAUCUCAAAAUGUAAUCACUUCAACCUCCAAUAUCUCUGAAGUUACAUGGCAACUUGCUUUAGAGCUGGAAACACCUGAUUCAAAAAUUUGAGCUCUAUUUCACUGCCAGUGAAAGUGAAGCAAUGCCAGGAAAAAGUCCAAUGUGUGAUGUUCCUUCAUGUUGCAAGCAGUUAUUUUAAAGCUAAUGCCUUCCUAGUGCUGUCAAUCACUAUUUUGGACUUGAAGGAUGUACAGAUGGUUGGGAGAGUCAUUGGUGAAAAUGAAGCUGAUCCAUGGAUUGCAGCAUAUAAUUCUUAAAAAUGGAUGAAAACAACACAUUUUACAUUGGCAAAAGGUUGACAAAGUUGAUAGCUAUGGUGUAUACAUGGACAUGGCAACCACUAAGAUAUACAAUUACCUGACAGUCUGGAUAAAGAGUACUCAGACUACAGGUUAUUAACCUACUUAUAAAGAUGUUCUCCAAGCAGUGGAAGAUCAUGCCUCAUGAUAUAUUCUCAUUCUUAAACAAAAACUUCCUUCUUCUCUUCCAAGAUAUCUACUCUGCUAAUCAGUUUCAAACAAUGAUUCCUAUGAAUUAAUAUACAUAAUAUACUGGAACUUUCUAAAUUAAAUGAGAAUUGGAACCAAUAUUGCCCUGCUAGCAGCAUUUUACAAAUAUAUUCUCAGAAAAUUUAAACAAAAUUCAAAUUUCUACUUACUUCAAGAUGUUGUCGCGAAAGCUGUAAAGUUAUUUAAUGCCAUUCCCUUUUAAGUUAAAAGAGGAAUUUGACUCAUGCAUCUUGGUGCAGUCUGUAAGUCUGUUAAUAAUAUAUGCAUCAAAAUACAGACUAAUGAAGCUGUUGCAAAAAUCAUGGACACUUGUACUUUUGUCAUAAAAAGAACACAUAUUUUAGAGGCCUGAAAGGAUGAAUCUACAGUCUUUUAAAGCAGAAGCCAGUAAAUGACAAGGUGGAACCAUCAAGAUAUGCAUAAGAGUUGAUCUGCUUGAAGAAAAAUGAUUGCAAAGGCUGAAAGAUUCAUAAGAGUAGUUUAUUAAAUAAGAUGAGCUGUGAUCUUAAAUAAUACAUAGACUGAAAUCUGAAGGAAGAAUUAUUGCAGAUCAGAUCUAUUCUAUGCGUAUAUGAUCUGAUGUGGAAAUAUUUAGAAUGAUGCAUAUAUGUACUCUUGGAAUCAUGAGAAAAUCCUUCAUCUUUCCUCUUGUGUAAACCUGCCAUUGUCAAGCCACAGUCCGCUUUCAAAUAAAGUAAGUAUUUCAAGUGUUCAAAAUAUAAGAAAAAGAAUUAUCAGUAAUUUUCUGAAUGAACUGUAAGACUUGUAUCUGACCUGUGUCUUUUGCUAUGAACUCUCUAAAAAAUGGCUUUGUCAUUCAUAAGGUAUUUGAAUUGCCAGCAUAUACAUUAUAUGAUUUACUGCUUAUGCAUAACAUCCAGUUCAAGGUGAAGGUCCAGGAAAUUCAAAUUAAGUUAAUCAUUCAGACUCAUUACCAUAUCAAGAUGAGUGCAUAUUCGGCAUUACAAAUGAAAAAUACAAAGAUAAGCACAUAUUUGGAUUUUGUUGACUUGAUCUCUGUCAUUUAUCUAUGGCUACAAGUUCUAACUGAUAUUAUGGGACACAGUGGAAUAAACAUUUUCUUUUUUCAUUGAAUUGUUACUGUUGAUAUUUAUUUCACAAUGACACCUUGUUUCCUCCAGGUUUGCUCUCAGUAAUCCUCUAAUAAGAUUUAUGAGGAUUUACUUGCAGAUUUUAUAAACCAGUAACAAGUUCCCAGUAAAUUCUGAAAUUUAGCCUUCCUCUAUGUAAUGCUACAGCAGUUCUCUAAAGAGUAAAAAGCAGUUAACUGAUCAUCUGUUUUUUAUCCACUCAUGAUGUCAGUUAAUGACAGAGUUCUUGCAAUGAAGAUCAGUUAAUCAACAUAGGCUCAGCAUUUCUCACCCCAUUUACACAGGCAAUACCUAUUGUGACCAGACAUCCCUUUCACUGCUUCUAAGUCAGUUUUCCAAUUGCUUAAAUCUCUCUGUUGGAUCUAUCAGUUGCUAGUGGCAGUUCAGAAGAUUUUCUUUGGGACACUUUUCUUCAGUUUGGAAUUUUGCGCCAGUAUCUAUAUUUUAAAAUUUGUACUCAGAAUCACUGGUGUGGGAGAAUGAGGAGAACUAUGUAACUUUUGCAAAUUAUGCCCAAUGGUGUCCUUUUGUAGAGAAUUCAACAUACUAGUACCAAAUGUCUGUCAAGAUAGUGCUGUCAUAUAGAUUCCAUUUUUCAGAGUGGAUACAGAUGGCUAUACCAUAUUUAGCUGAGUGGAGCAAAAAGGACAGAUUUCCAGCCCUUUGUAACCAUGUGAUCAGUUUAAGCAAGUUAUACUGCAUAAAGCCACAUCAGAUCAGCUACUAGCCCUUCGAGCAUUAUUUAUGCAGCGACAGCCCUCUGAGUAGGAACUGUACAUUAUCAUCCCAACAGGCUGCUUUCACAUCUCCCACUUAUAUACUACCUACCCUGUACUUAUUAACACUUGCAUUUCUACUCACUCUUUCUCAGAGAUUAUAUAACAUACAUAGCACUGCUUAACAUUAGUCACCUCUUCUGGGUACUCUACAUGUUCCUUGGCUCUUUGUCAGGACAUCUAAAAUGUUGCUGUCUGCAUGCCAUGUUGUAGACAGGAUAAAAAUUGAUUUAAAUAUGUUCUGCCAAACCUGCACCAUGUCAGGCAACAUAUUUAUAAAUUACCUUGUCUGGCAGCCUCAUUCCUCCUAGACAGGACUUCUUCAAUAGUCCUGUUUUCAGAGUACAGAGUAGGUAUACGUAUAUAUUGUCUCUGGUGCUUAUUUUGCAUUUGACAACUGAGUCAUACAUUUGAGAGCUAUAAAGAAAAAUAUGUCUGAGAAAUGAGUUAUUAUAUAGCAUCAUGCUGUUAAACUGUGCAGGUCAAAUAUCUGAUUAUCUGAACUGUGGUAUUUGGAAGAGAUUUUAUAUGCUUAGUGCUGUAUUAUUUUAGCACUUAAGUGUCAGUGAAUCAUACAGGCAAUAUAUGUUUAAGUUUUACAACCUUAUUUACCUAUAAAUGUGUCAGCUGAUAGGUUAUGUACAUAAAGAUGAUUCAAAAAUUUCAAAUCUGAGUCUCAUUUCUAGUUAUGAACAUAGGUUAUUUUAGACUAUAUAUGGCUAAUACUAUUAACUGUCUGGUGACAGCUAUCCAACACAGGUAACCAGAUAAUGGUAGCAAGAUUAUAGUUGUUUCUGUUCUUACAUAUGACUCUUCAUACCCUAUAACAUGACCCAUGGUGACCUUUCUGCCAUGUAAAACCGGGCACUGCAGAAGUAGUUCAGCUAUUCAGUUCCGCAGACUUUUCUACCAUCCCCAUAGACAAAGUACAGUAUUUCCCCACCUCAAGACAUGACAAAUAAAAGCUGCUUUCUGAUUUAAAGGCAGUGGUCUCAACACCUAUGAUAUACAGGUUCACAUAAAUUAUGUAAAGGAAAGUGCUCUCGGUAGCCAGUAGUUACUUUUGUUGUCUAUUCUUCUUAAAAUUUUUAAUGGCAUCACUUGCAGGUGUAUGUAACAAAUCUUUGCCAGCCCACCAAAUCUUUUUUCAGGGAGUAUAGCUGAGUAAAAGCAUUUUGCACAGUAACUGUGAUAUUUUGCAGAGUGGAGAAUACAUCUCCUUUGCACAAACUAUUAGAAGUAACAUACUGGAAACAAUUCCUUUCAACAGUACUGUUACUGUUUCCACAUACCUUGCUGUGAAAUGAAAUCAUUUUUUACUAACAGGGUUAUUUUACAUGAGACAGUUUCCUUAAUUUUAUAAUCCAGUAAUUUGCAAAGUUUUAUGACUCUCCAUUAUGAUUCAAAGUCACGCUUUUGUAUUAUACACCCUCUAAAAGAAAAUUCUAAAUUGCAUAUCUGACAACAGUAAACAUAUAUGGUCUAUGUCAGCUCUAAUUAGUAGUGCAGUACCCAGAAGUGCUAAGUGAUUAUGUGCCCCCCUUUUGACCUUCUGCCUUGCUACUGCCUUUACUAGAGAGAACUGCCUUCAUACAGCUUUGCUGAAACUGAUGUUUUAAUAUUGUUAUUACAUGUAGUCCAGUAAGUUCCUCCCAAAAAGUUAAAUACCUACAUCUUUUCCUGCCUCUUGUAACAACUGAAGUAGAUCCUCAGUAAUCUGGUCCAAGCUUUUAAAGUUUUAUUUAGAAAUGAUUCACUAUCGUACAAUGCCUUCAUGCAUGAUGUUUUAAUGAAUAAAAAUAAGCAUGUCUUAACCAUGUCACAAGAAAUAGAGCACUUGUAAAACAUGGCGGCACUCUGUAAACUGAAUAUUAUAAUCUUCAUUGACCUGGACAGUAUUUUAUUCAACCUACUGGUGUGUGUAUGCUGCGAUUUUUGUAGAGAAUAAAGAUAACUUGAAUUACA